GGGGCGCAUCUGAGGUGGGAUUUUAGAGACUGUUGGCGGGGCGAUGGGGUCGGAGGGGUCGUUUUUUGGGAGCUGGCCGGGAGGCGGCUCCGCGGCAGAUGGAAAAGCGAGGCCCUGAGACGGGAAGCCCUGGAGGUCACAGAGGGACCUGGGAGGGUCACCGGCCGUUUCACAAGCUCAACCAAAUUUCCUUGCUUGGGCCUGCUUUCCGUGAGCCGGGACCUGGACUAGAGGUGACCCCGCCCCUGACAGCACCUGACUCAACGGUUUGUGUUGGUGUUGUAUCACCUGUUCCCUUUAUCGCUCCUCUCCUCCAGGAUCGGGCAAAUAAAGGAUGGGAAAACCCAGCUGGGCCUGACUCAAAUCUUGCCUCUGAAGCAAAUGGCUUUUGGUUCACGUCCAGGAGACCCAGCCAUGAACGGGCCCGUUGGAAAAGUAAUGACAACCCUUAGGCUUCCACGGAGGGACCGGCACCACUUCUAUCUGCUUAAAAAGGAUAAAGAAGAGGAAGCAAGCCAAAGAAAGGGAACCCAGGGGAGGCAAACAUCGACCUCAUCCUCCCCCCUUCCCCAGGACCACCCGGACCCCGGGGCUGUUGAGCCUCUCAGAAGAUCCAGAGAGGGGGGCGCCUGUUAAGCGUCUGCCUUUGGCUCAGGGCGUGAUCCCAGCGUUCUGGGAUCGAGCCCCACAUCAGGCUCUUCCGCUGGGAGCCUGCUUCUUCCUCUCCCACUCCCCCUGCUUGUGUUCCCUCU